GUAAACACAUUGAUAAGAAGAAGUAGCAGGAAGAAGUCUUCUAAGAGAGUCUGCGGCUGGUGUAAGCAGAUAAGAUGAACCCUGUGAAAUGCAUCUUGGAGUGGUUUUGGCGAGUUUCUGGUAGCCAAAAACGGCAAACGACCGUUAUCCGUCAGAGGCAGCAAGAGCUGCAAACAAAAGUGGGACCACGUGAACACGCGUCUUUUGA
rnacentral:ncRNA from 1 species